GAGAGGCUUUACAAAAACUCACAGAUAAUUGUUGCUUUGAACUGUGAGUAAUAAAAUAAAAUAUCAAACCACAGUUGUGUCUUCUAUGAACCACUGAGCCUCAAUUACAGGAUAUAGUAACACCUGCUAAAAAUUGAACAGCUGCAUGUACAGUAAGGUAGAGUAGAAACACUUAAAUAGAGGGCUAAUAUUUUUUUCUUCUGUCUUACCUUUUGAGAAUACAUAAAUGCAUGUAGGAUGCCUUCUAAUCUAAUAUUAGAAAGUGGACAUUGAAGUGGAGAAUAUUGUUGGGACAGAUUGUGGGACUGUGUUGAUAAUACAUUAAGAUGAUGUGCUAACAUGCUUCAUGAAUGGAUGAGCCAAUCAGACACUAGCAGAAUCUCCUGUUCUGGAGGCCUAUAAGAAACUGCUUAUCGAAUGAUUCACCAAGCAACACAACAGAGAUGACUUCAUCACUCCUCAUCUGUCUCACAUUUCUGGCAGAAAUCACUUCCGGUGCUCAUACUGGACCAAAGGCAGAAGGCACAAGUGCAAUCAGUAGAGAGGGGGAAUCUGUGACUCUCACCUGCUUGUUUGAAUCAAGCAGUUCUUCUUUUGUGCUCUCUGGCGUAGGCUGAUCCCAAUGAAGGCACCUCAGUAUUGUUGCUUAGGGGUGCUCGAUCAGAUACACGGUAUCAUACCAGUGAUCCUCGCUAUGAUUCUGAAACUUCAAAGACAUCCACUCAUCUCAUCAUUAAAGAUUUAAAGCUAGAAGACACAGCUUCCUACCACUGUGUGCUUGGAGGGAUUAAACACCAUCGUGAAAUGUGUUUAUCAAGCUGUACAAAAACUAAUUUACACACUUGCAGUCUUUCAAAACCAAAGACUGAUUAAAUAAUUUCCUUCCCAUAUUUUGAGAACAAUAAAAUAGGUGCCUAGGCGAAGUGGUUACAUCUGGCAAAUGAAGAUAAUAAAAUCAUAAUGUGCUUUCGAAAAAGCAAUCAGCAGAUAAUAUGAUUAUUAGUCUCUAUUCUGAAAUGUUACUAGAUAAUAACACAAGGUUUUAAAAAAGUUGUUCAAGCCACAUCCAGUCUUUCAAAUAGCAUUGUAAGCAAGCAGGCGGAGCUUCCAAAAUGUUACAUUUCUGUCACUCACCAGUUUCUGUUAUUUUGCUCUGCAGAGGCCAACAAUGCUGCAGUACUUUGUUAUUUUGAUAUUAACUCUUACAGAUCCUAGCUGUGCAGAUGGCAUUACACCGGAGCACGCAGAAGUGAAUGCAGAUGAGACUGAGAACAUUACACUGUCCUGUAGGUAUUCCUCAGCCUACAGUCUUUUAUGGUAUCGACAGCAUCAUGCAUCGGCUCCUCAGUUCCUCAUGCUCAUCAUGCAAAGCUCUGGAAAAAUAAUACAGAGUUCUGAUGAUCGCCUUACAGGAAAACUAAAUGCAGAGAAAAAUCGUUUGGAUCUAGAAAUCCCCUCUUCCUCAGUAAAAGACUCUGCCCUGUAUUUCUGCGCUCUGCAGCCCACAGUGACAGGAAAUCAAACUUUUCUAUACAAAAACCCUCACAGGAUAGGUUGCAGCUGUUAAUUAAA